CAUUUUUCUGCUGCUUCUUUCUUCCACAAAACUUUAUUCCAUUCCAACUUUUUCUGAUUCUCCUUUGCGCGGAACUCGUGUGGAUUCUGCCGUCCUCCUUAGUCCGAGCUCCUCAACGGUUUUUCCCAAUUCGCUUCUCUCCGUUGUUCCUCCUUCUAUCUCUGGGCUCGGCGGUCCCACGUUGACGCCUCUCUCUCUCGCUAUCCCGCUCUACACGUGCGGGACUCCGGGUAGCUUUUCCGCGUCGAGGCCCGCGAUUUCCGAUAUGUUUCCCACGAGAGGUACUCUUCGGGGUUGCGGGAAAACGUGGGCCCCUUUCGAAGGGUUCUUCGCUCUCUUUGCCAAGUUUCCAGCGUGACUUUGGUCCGGCACUGUGUUCCUUGGCCGCUUCUGUUGCUGUUGCAGGUUAGCCCCUUGCACUCGCGACUUGUUAGCGAUCCCGCGGUCUCGAUUAGAAGUUUUCCGAGCUUUUCCGAGCCUGAUGCCGCGUAACCGUAUGAUGAUUUUCGGAUAUAACCCGCGUGGAAACGAAAAAUAAAAGAAGAGUUUUAUUUUUUCCUCUGGAUCCCUCUUUGCGCGUCCGACUUGUCGUAAGUCCAAAAUUGAAAAGACCGGCUGCCUUCUCCCGCGUCAUUUCCUACCCUCUCUUAGACAGACCAGCCUAGAUCAAUCCCCGAUCAGCUGGCCGAUGAUUCGCCUAAGUGGUAACUCUUGAUCAAAUGGGAUAUUUUUUUUUUGUUUAUUUAUCGCGGGUUAUGUUCAAAUAUUAUUCUUUGUUUUCUUGGUUUUUUUGUUUUUCUUUAUGCAUAUGUCGCUUCUGGCACCGUUACAUUCCAAAGAUAUGGUAACAGCUAAAUCAAAUUUUGUAAUUUUAGUUGGUAUACAUACAUUUCAAAAAUGAAAUGUACUAAAAACAAUGAUGGUCAACACAAUUACAGGGCCAACAUAAUUCAAUAUAUGGUAAAAUUUGAUCAAUUUCUUCUUUUAGCUGUACCGCGGAUACUGUGGGUGAUGGAACCCAUGUUUAUACUGGACAUUGUUUCAGAGAACCCCAAAGGAUAUGGAGCAGGUGAAAUUAUGCGUGUAGAUUUUUUUCGAUUGGCCUGUGAAAUCAAGAUCAGCUGCCUAGAAUUUAUGACCGCAGCAAUGUGAUAAACAAGACUUCCAAUAUGCCUUCAAAGUGAAGGGAACGGGAGACAUAAAUCGCAACUCAAUGGAUUUAGGAAGGAAUAAAUCCAGCACUGUUCUUUGAUGCUCAUUUGUGAGAAAAAGUCGCUUCAUUGCUCCAACUAUUUUUUGGCUCCAACGAUGUUUGUGGCAUUGUCCAACCAUAUCUGGCGAGGUUUUCUCCGGAUAGAAAUAAACCUAAGCGCAUGCAAACCAAUAAGAGCAUGCAGAAACGUGGCGGUGGACAAUGCCCUCACCAACUGCCAGUGCACAACCAUCAUUGCAAAACAAAGAAACACGCUUACGUCACAUUUUAUUGGGGUCUAAGUGCGCAUCUCCGAUUGAAAUGAACGGGCCGCAAAAAUCAAUACUGGUGAGA